ACACUCUAACCACUAGGCUACCUACCGCCCCUACACUCUAACCACUAGGCUACCUACCGCCCCUACACUCUAACCACUAGGCUACCUACCGCCCCUACACUCUAACCACCUGCCGCCCCGGGAAGCAAACAAGGGAACCAUCGUCAAAUUCGUCACCACCAAAUUCCAGAGGUGUAGACUCACUCGAGUCACAUGACUGGAGCACACAGUGCCUUCAGGAAGUAUUCACACCCCUUUGUCCACACUGUUGUGUUACAACCUUGCACUUCAAAUGGAUUACAUUGAGAUUUGACGUCACUGGCCCACACAUAAUACCCCAUAAUGUCAAAGCGGAAUUAUGUUUUUCAUUUUUUACCCUCCCUCUCAAAACUAAUUAAAAAAUGAAAAGCUGACAUGUCUCGAGUCAAGGGUAGCCUAGUGGUUAGAGCAUUGGACUAGUAACCGAAAGGUUGCAAGUUCAAAUCCCCGAGCUGACAAGGUACAAAAUCUGUCGUUCUGCCCUUGAACAGGCAGUUAACCCACUGUUCUUAGGGCCGUCAUUGAAAAUAAGAAUUUGUUCUUAACUGACUUGCCAAGUUAAAUAAAGGUUAAAAAUAUACAAAAAUAAAGUAUUUAACCCCUUUGUUAUCGCAAGCUGAAAUAAGUUCAGGGGUAAAAACGGACUUAAACAUAAUAAGUUGCAUUGACUCAUCUCUGUACUCCACAGAUACAAUUAUCUGUAACGUCACUCAGUCAAGCAGUGAAUUUCAAAAACACAGAUUCCACCACAGAGAGAGACUGGGAAGGGGGGCACCUAUUGGUAGAUAGAAUUUCCCUUUGCGCAUGGUGAAGUUAUUAAUUGCACUUUGGAUGGUGCAUCAAUACACACAGGCACUACAAAGAUACGGACGUCCUUCCUAACUCAGUUGCCGGAGAGGAAGGAAACCGCUCAGGAAUGUCACCAUGAGGCCCGAUGGUGACUUUAAAAUAGAGUUCAAUGGCUGUGAUAGAAGGAAACUGCGGAUGGAUCAACCACAUUGUAGUUACUCCACAAUACUAACCUAAAUGACAGAGUGAAAAGGAGGAAGCCUGUACAGAAUAAAAAUAUCCAGAACAUGCACUUUGUUUGCAACAAGGCACUAAAGUAAAACUGCAAAAAAAACGUGACAAAGCAAUUCACUUGUAAGUCAGCAUUUCACAGUAAGGUCUACUACAGCUGUUGAUUAAGGGCUUGUAAGUCAGCAUUUCCCUGUAAGGUGUCUACACCUGUUGGUUAAGGGCUUGUAAGUCAGCAUUUCCCUGUAAGGUCUACCUACACCUGUUGGUUAAGGGCUUGUAAGUCAGCAUUUCCCUGUAAGGUCUACCUACACCUGUUGUAUUCAGCAUUUCCCUGUAAGGUCUACCUACACCUGUUGUAUUCAGCAUUUCCCUGUAAGGUCUACCUACACCUGUUGUAUUCAGCAUUUCCCUGUAAGGUCUACCUACACCUGUUGUAUUCAGCAUUUCCCUGUAAGGUCUACCUACACCUGUUGUAUUCAGCAUUUCCCUGUAAGGUCUACCUACACCUGUUGUAUUUGGCAUUUCCCUGUAAGGUCUACCUACACCUGUUGUAUUUGGCAUUUCCCUGUAAGGUCUACCUACACCUGUUGUAUUCAGCAUUUCCCUGUAAGGUCUACCUACACCUGUUGUAUUCAGCAUUUCCCUGUAAGGUCUACCUACACCUGUUGUAUUCAGCAUUUCCCUGUAAGGUCUACCUACACCUGUUGUAUUCAGCAUUUCCCUGUAAGGUCUACCUACACCUGUUGUAUUUGGCAUUUCCCUGUAAGGUCUACCUACACCUGUUGUAUUUGGCAUUUCCCUGUAAGGUCUACCUACACCUGUUGUAUUUGGCAUUUCCCUGUAAGGUCUACCUACACCUGUUGUAUUUGGCAUUUCCCUGUAAGGUCUACCUACACCUGUUGUAUUCAGCAUUUCCCUGUAAGGUCUACCUACACCUGUUGUAUUCAGCAUUUCCCUGUAAGGUCUACCUACACCUGUUGUAUUUGGCAUUUCCCUGUAAGGUCUACCUACACCUGUUGUAUUCAGCAUUUCCCUGUAAGGUCUACCUACACCUGUUGUAUUCAGCAUUUCCCUGUAAGGUCUACCUACACCUGUUGUAUUCAGCAUUUCCCUGUAAGGUCUACCUACACCUGUUGUAUUCAGCAUUUCCCUGUAAGGUCUACCUACACCUGUUGUAUUUGGCAUUUCCCUGUAAGGUCUACCUACACCUGUUGUAUUCAGCAUUUCCCUGUAAGGUCUACCUACACCUGUUGUAUUCAGCAUUUCCCUGUAAGGUCUACCUACACCUGUUGUAUUCAGCAUUUCCCUGUAAGGUCUACCUACACCUGUUGUAUUUGGCUCAUGUGACAAAUACAAUUUGACGUGACGCAUUGUCAGCAUGCGAAAACAGAAUGUUUAUAAUAGUACUCAACAUUUUUUAAAAAUCCGCUAUGGUUUAAUAAAAUGUCAGGAUGUUCCUCAUUUCAGCUCUUCAUCUCGUAGAAUUCAAUGCACAUUUUCCCACAGUGCAUUGGAAGAGGUAGCCAAACAACGAAACUUAGGCUACUUAAUUGGGAAGAUGCCUUGAAGCUUCUGCGGUGGCAUUCAAAAUGUAGGCUAAGUAGUUUCAUGAAGGUGGAAAAAGUACCCAACUGUCAUACUUAAAGUAAAAGUAGAGACAGCUUAAUAGAAAAUGACUCAAGUAAAAUUGAGAGUCACCCAGU